UACGUAGGUGGCAAGCGUUAUCCGGAUUUAUUGGGUGUAAAGGGCGUGUAGGCGGGAGCGCAAGUCAGAUGUGAAAACUCAGGGCUCAACCCUGAGCCUGCAUUUGAAACUAUGUUUCUUGAGUGCUGGAGAGGCAAUCGGAAUUCCGUGUGUAGCGGUGAAAUGCGUAGAUAUACGGAGGAACACCAGUGGCGAAGGCGGAUUGCUGGACAGUAACUGACGCUGAGGCGCGAAAGCGUGGGGAGCAAACAGG
rnacentral:rRNA from 1 species